GCCCCUGUGAGAAUGCCCUAUCGUCCCCGCCCGGGAACAAGGAGCUGGUAUCAGGUACAACUAUGUUAGCCCACGACACCUUGCUUAGCCACACCCCCAAGGGAACUCAGCAGUGAUAGACAUUAAGCCAUAAGUGAAAACUUGACUUAGUCAAAGCUAAGAGGGCCGGUAAAACUCGUGCCAGCCACCGCGGUUAUACGAGAGGCCCAAGUUGAUAGACACCGGCGUAAAGGGUGGUUAGGAUAAAAUUAAAGACUAAAGCCGAACACCUUCAAGGCUGUUAUACGCACCCGAAAGUAAGAAGCUCAAUCACGAAAGUGGCUUUACUCCUUCCGAAUCCACGAAAACUAGGACACAAACUGGGAUUAGAUACCCCACUAUGCCUAGCUGUAAACAUUGAUAGUGUAAUACGACCACUAUCCGCCCGGGAACUACGAGCACUAGCUUGAAACCCAAAGGACUUGGCGGUGCUUUAGAUCCACCUAGAGGAGCCUGUUCUAGAACCGAUAAUCCCCGUUCAACCUCACCCUUCCUUGUUCAUUCCC
rnacentral:rRNA from 1 species